rnacentral:rRNA from 1 species
UACAGAGGUCUCGAGCGUUGUUCGGAUUCAUUGGGCGUAAAGGGCGCGUAGGCGGCGGGGUAAGUCUGGUGUGAAAUCUCGGAGCUCAACUCCGAAAUUGCACUGGAUACUGCUCUGCUAGAGGGCUGGAGAGGAGAUCGGAAUUCACGGUGUAGCAGUGAAAUGCGUAGAUAUCGUGAGGAAGACCAGUGGCGAAGGCGGAUCUCUGGGCCUUACCUGACGCUCAGGUGCGAAAGCUAGGGGAGCGAACAGG